CCUACGGGAGGCAGCAGUAAGGAAUAUUGGUCAAUGGACGCAAGUCUGAACCAGCCAUGCCGCGUGAAGGAUGAAGGUCCUCUGGAUUGUAAACUUCUUUUAUUUGGGACGAAAAAAGGGUUUUCUAACUCACUUGACGGUACCAGAUGAAUAAGCACCGGCUAACUCCGUGCCAGCAGCCGCGGUAAUACGGAGGGUGCAAGCGUUAUCCGGAUUCACUGGGUUUAAAGGGUGCGUAGGCGGGUAUGUAAGUCAGCGGUGAAAUCCCCGAGCUUAACUUGGGAACUGCCGUUGAUACUAUAUAUCUUGAAUGUUGUGGAGGUUAGCGGAAUAUGUCAUGUAGCGGUGAAAUGCUUAGAUAUGACAUAGAACACCCAUUGCGAAGGCAGCUAACUACGCAAAUAUUGACGCUGAGGCACGAAAGCGUGGGGAUCAAACAGGAUUAGAUACCCUGGUAGUCCACGCCCUAAACGAUGAUUACUCGACAUUGGCGAUACACAGUCAGUGUCUGAGCGAAAGCAUUAAGUAAUCCACCUGGAAGUACGAUCGCAAGAUUGAAACUCAAAGGAAUUGACGG
rnacentral:rRNA from 1 species